rnacentral:misc_RNA from 1 species
GCCGGGCACAGGAUGCCAUGCUUGCCCAAUGCCUGUUCGAUAAUGUUGUUAUCAGUCAGAGGAACUCUUUGUUUAUCUAUCUUUGCGAAUGCCUUCUUAUAGAUCAGCUCCCUCACAUUUUUAAGAUUCGGGUAUCCAUAUGUCACAUAUGGCUCCACCCUUUGUAGCUUCCCUAGAAUACUCUCAUUAGCCUUUGCAAAAACUGCGCUGAAAAUUCUACUUAAUCCAAGAUUAUAUAAGAUCUUCCUCGUCUUUGGAUGCAUGUCAUUCUUGCCCUGUAUGCGAAUAAUAAAAAUCAACUUUGAUUUUGAUGGCACCAUAGCAGGUCUUUUUCUCUUUGUCCUGUGCUUCAUUUUGACAAGAUCCAGUUCCCUAGCACGAUAUUCUCUGACAAACUCUUCAGGUAGUUUAAUAAAACCAUCCUUGUUUUUCUUCGA